UGAUCCUGGCUCAGGACGAACGCUGGCGGCGUGCUUAACACAUGCAAGUCGAACGGGGUCCAUGCAGUAGCAAAUACUGCGGAAGGCCUAGUGGCGAACGGGGUGAGUAACACGUGAGGAACCUGCCCUGGUCUCUGGGAUAACAGUUGGAAACAGCUGCUAAUACCGGAUGACGUCGGACCGUCGCAUGGCGGACUGACGAAAGGGUUACCGGAUCAGGAGGGCCUCGCGUCCUAUCAGCUUGUUGGUGGGGUAACGGCCUACCAAGGCAUCGACGGGUAGCUGGUCUGAGAGGAUGAUCAGCCACACUGGGACUGAGACACGGCCCAGACUCCUACGGGAGGCAGCAGUGGGGAAUCUUGCGCAAUGGGCGAAAGCCUGACGCAGCAACGCCGCGUGCGGGAAG
rnacentral:rRNA from 1 species